UACCAGCUCUCCGAGUGGUAGGGAUGAUUAUUGGGCUUAAAGCGUCCGUAGCCGGCUUAGCAAGUCUCCUGUUAAAUUCAGCGACCUAAUCGUUGAGCCGCGGGAGAUACUACUAGGCUAGGAGGCGGGAGAGGUCAACGGUACUUCCGGGGUAGGGGUGAAAUCCUAUAAUCCCGGGAGGACCACCAGUGGCGAAGGCUGUUGACUAGAACGCGCUCGACGGUGAGGGACGAAAGCUGGGGGAGCGAACCGGAUUAGAUACCCGGGUAGUCCCAGCUGUAAACGAUGCGAGCUAGGUGUUGGGGUCGCUACGUGCCACUUCAGUGCCGCAGGGAAGCCAUUAAGCUCGCCGCCUGGGGAGUACGGCCGCAAGGCUGAAACUUAAAGGAAUUGGCGGGGGAGCACCACAAGGCGUGAAGCUUGCGGUUC
rnacentral:rRNA from 1 species